AGCACCGUGUGUCUUUGUUGACAUGGUAGACAAAGACUUAAGGACAGGUGCAAAAGUAAAUCCUCUUUUGAAACUCCAGAACUCACUGUUCAGUGUGAGUUUGAAUACAUGUAAGAAGGACUAUG
ensembl:snoRNA